UCAGGAUGAACGCUGGCGGCAUGCCUAAGACAUGCAAGUCGAACGAGGUGGCCCAUAGAAGAGGAAGUGCUUGCACGGAAUCGGAAAUGGAUUCCCACCUAGUGGCGGACGGGUGAGUAACACGUGGAUAAUCUACCUUUAAGACGGGGACAACAGUUGGAAACGACUGCUAAUACCGGAUAUGACAUAGUUUGAUAACAAGCUAUGUUGAAAGGGAGCUUUCAAGCUUCGCUUAAAGAUGAGUCUGCGCUGUAUUAGUUAGUUGGUGGGGUAAUGGCCUACCAAGACAACGAUGCAUAGCCGAGCUGAGAGGCUGAUCGGCCACAUUGGGACUGAGACACGGCCCAAACUCCUACGGGAGGCAGCAGUUAGGAAUAUUCGUCAAUGGGGGAAACCCUGAACGAGCAAUGCCGCGUGAGUGAUGACGGUCCUUUGGAUUGUAAAACUCUGUUGUAAAGGAAGAAUCGCAAAGAUAGGAAAUGAUCUUUGUUUGACGGUACUUUACCAGAAAGCCCCGGCUAACUACGUGCCAGCAGCCGCGGUAAUACGUAGGGGGCGAGCGUUAUCCGGAUUUAUUGGGCGUAAAGCGUGUGUAGGCGGUUUGUUAAGUCUGAAAUAAAAGCCCGAGGCUCAACUUCGGUUCGUUUCAGAAACUGGCAGACUUGAGUGUGGUAGAGGCAAGUGGAAUUUCUAGUGUAGCGGUAAAAUGCGUAGAUAUUAGAAGGAACACCAGUGGCGAAGGCGACUUGCUGGGCCAUUACUGACGCUGAGACACGAAAGCGUGGGGAGCAAAUAGGAUUAGAUACCCUAGUAGUCCACGCCGU
rnacentral:rRNA from 1 species